UAUCCUAUAGAUUAUGUAGUGAAUCCACAAUAUACGGUCGUCACUGUCUGUGUUCUUACAGGCUGUACACCUUAAACAAGCUGCAGGUGCAACAGGAAGUGAAGACUUUGUCAAAGAACAUCUGCAGAUGUUCUCCUGCUGUUUUAGAUCAUACAGCUCAUCUCCUUGCAAAUCUCAGUGAGACGGUCUUCAGUUCAGGAAAUUCUUCAUUCUGCUGUAUAAAAUGAUUCCAGGAGGAAAUUCUUUGACAGCUGCAGUGUUGCUGAUAAUCAUGAUGAAAGUCUUCAGUGUCCUCACUCACUCAUGUCCUUCAGAAAUGUAUAAAGUACAAGGCCUGUGCUGUUCAAAGUGUCCU